rnacentral:rRNA from 1 species
AGCGAACGCUGGCGGCAGGCUUAACACAUGCAAGUCGAGCGGGCAUCCUUGUGGUGUCAGCGGCAGACGGGUGAGUAACGCGUGGGAACGUGCCCUUCGGUUCGGAAUAACUCAGGGAAACUUGAGCUAAUACCGGAUACGUGCGAGAGCAGAAAGGUUUAUCUGCCGAAGGAUCGGCCCGCGUCUGAUUAGCUAGUUGGUGAGGUUACGGCUCACCAAGGCGACGAUCAGUAGCUGGUCUGAGAGGAUGAUCAGCCACACUGGGACUGAGACACGGCCCAGACUCCUACGGGAGGCAGCAGUGGGGAAUAUUGGACAAUGGGGGCAACCCUGAUCCAGCCAUGCCGCGUGAGUGAUGACGGCCUUAGGGUUGUAAAGCUCUUUUCUCCGGGACGAUAAUGACGGUACCGGAGGAAUAAGCCCCGGCUAACUUCG